CUGUCAGAUAAACAAACCGCUUCUUGCAUGGCUCUGUGGACCUUCAACUACUAACGCUGCCAGUCUCAGUGCUGCUGCACAGCUCAUUUUAAACCCGACAACUUUACCGUAGCUGAAAAAAGGAUGUCUCCAUUGACGAAAAGUUAAAUAUGACAGUAGAGUCCUGUGAGAGCAUCAUGAGGAAAGACAGGGAUAACCCUCUGGCACUGUCCUCCAACAAACCAUGCCAGGACCAGACGGGCUAUGGGCGAGAGUUGGAGAGGCUGUGUGCUGAUUUGGAAUCUGAGAAGCACCGAACACAGCGGGUUUGGGGCCAACUUAGUGUGGAGCUUCGGCACCUGCGAGAAGAAGCAGAGAAGGAACAGCAGAGAGCUUUGAGGGAGUUGAUGGCCCGGCGAGGGUGCCAAAAGGACAGAGACUCUCAGAGACGUGGGCAUCUCCUGAUUAAGGAGGUGAACAUUAAAGACAGUGGACAGUGCAGCAAAGUAGAUUCCACAGGGAAAAAGGCUUUUUGUUUUUGCAGCGGGCAAACGUAUGCAAAGCUGGAGCAGUUGCUGCUGACGCUGUAUGAGCAGAUAAAUGGUGAGCAGGCAGCUUAUAAACUGCAUCACCGGCAGGAUUUUGAGCUAGAAAAGGCAAUCUCCCUGUGCCACCUGCUAGAGGCCCAUGGGAGACUGUUGCAGGGACUGCAGAGAGCAGGACCCCCUGGCUGUGUUUUCAAAAGCCCCUCAAGGAAACCAGCUCAGGAAGACGACAGUAACACCUGUCAGACGACACCUCUCUUAACGUACUCCAAGGCCUCGCUACAGAGAUCACUGGGUGCCUCCCACUCAGCUAAAAGGAAAACCAAACAAAAUCAGUUGAAGCAGACCUCUGGUUGGGAUAUGUGUACAGCUGACCCCAGCCUCACUGCUUCAGCCCUGGACACCUGUCAGAGCAACUCUCUGAAAAUUUGUCACCCUCACAACAUUCCCCAUGCAGACUGGGAUGACUGGCCCUCCAUCUGCUCUGAGUCCUCUGGGUCAGACUUGUCAGUGUCCUCCAAAUGCUUGGAGAGAAACAUGGAGGUGAGCAGCUUCAUAUUUCUAAAUGAACCUUUUCACUGGUGGUUAGUCCUGAAAGUGUGAACUAAAUAUGUGCAGUAUGUUGAUAGAAAUUUUGGUGAGGAGACUUUUAUUCUUUGGUGUCCUGUAUGGUGCAAAUGUUCACUAGCUUGCUGUCUUUUUCUCUAUCUUUACAUGGG
ensembl:lncRNA